GAUGAAGAACGUAGCGAAAUGCGAUAAGUAAUGUGAAUUGCAGAAUUCAGUGAAUCAUCGAAUCUUUGAACGCACAUUGCGCCCUCUGGUAUUCCGGGGGGCAUGCCUGUUCGAGCGUCAUUAUAACCACUCAAGCUCUGGCUUGGUAUUGGGGUUCGCGGUUCCGCGGCCCCUAAAAUCAGUGGUGGUGCCUGUCGGCUCUACGCGUAGUAAUACUCCUCGCGAUUGAGUCCGGUAGGUCUACUUGCCAGCAACCCCCAAUUUUUACAGGUUGACCUCGGAUCAGGUAGGGAUACCCGCUGAACUUAAGCAUAUCAAUAAGCGGAGGA
rnacentral:misc_RNA from 1 species